rnacentral:rRNA from 1 species
AUACGGAAGGUCCGGGCGUUAUCCGGAUUUAUUGGGUUUAAAGGGAGCGCAGGCGGAGAUGCAAGCGUGACGUCAAAUUUCGGGGCUCAACCCCGUCUCGCGUCGCGAACUGCGUCCCUUGGUUGCGGGAAGGGGAGGCGGAACUCGUGGGGUAGCGGUGAAAUGCAUAGAUAUCACGAAGAACUCCGAUCGCGAAGGCAGCCUUCCGGCCCGUCAACGACGCUCAUGCUCGAAGGUGCGGGUAUCAAACAGGAUUAGAUACCCUGGUAGUCCGCACAGUAAACGAUGGACACCCGCGGUUUGGCCUAUAUGGCUGAGCCGCCAAGCGAAAGCGUUAAGUGUCCCACCUGGGGAGUACGCCGGCAACGGUGAAACUCAAAUGAAUUGGCGGGG